GGCCAGACUCCUACGGGAGGCAGCAGUGGGGAAUAUUGCACAAUGGGGGAAACCCUGAUGCAGCGACGCCGCGUGAGCGAUGAAGUAUUUCGGUAUGUAAAGCUCUAUCAGCAGGGAAGAAAAUGACGGUACCUGACUAAGAAGCCCCGGCUAACUACGUGCCAGCAGCCGCGGUAAUACGUAGGGGGCAAGCGUUAUCCGGAUUUACUGGGUGUAAAGGGGGCGCAGACGGCGAUGCAAGCCAGGAGUGAAAGCCCGGGGCCCAACCCCGGGACUGCUCUUGGAACUGCGUGGCUGGAGUGCAGGAGGGACAGGCGGAAUUCCUGGUGUAGCGGUGAAAUACGUAGAUAUCAGGAGGAACACCGGUGGCGAAGGCGGCCUGCUGGACAGCAACUGACGCUGAGGCGCGAAAGCGUGGGGAGCAAACAGGAUUAGAUACCCUCGUAU
rnacentral:rRNA from 1 species